CUGCAUGGACAACGGGGAACACUGAAAGACACAGCCCGCCAUAGAGGAGAUUCUCCAGGGGACAAACUACAAAUUAAGGACAAAAUAGAUGGCUUUUCUUGCUGAAAGAUGCCAAAUACUUCAAAAACUGAACAAAUUGAUAGAUAAAUUACACUGGGAUGAGCUCACCUACCACUGAUGUGCAGCCAUCUCUAGGGUAGCUCCCUCUAGCUGUUUACCACCAUGCAGCGGUACCUAGGAGCAGUUUGUCAUAAAGAAAAGAAGACUGUUUCUUGGAAUAUUAGUAACAGGGAAUUUGCAGAAGAGAAGGUAUAAUUGUCUAGAUUGGAAUAUGACCAGGACAACCACACCAUUCCCACACACCACCAAGAAGGCAAAAAGUAAGCAACAGUGGUUUGGGAAUCUGACAAUUUUUGAAUGACAAUCUAAUGUUUUUAUGCUACCAAAAAAUGAAAUUUAGAAACCUU